CUACGGGGGGCAGCAGUGGGGAAUAUUGCACAAUGGGCGCAAGCCUGAUGCAGCCAUGCCGCGUGUAUGAAGAAGGCCUUCGGGUUGUAAAGUACUUUCAGCGGGGAGGAAGGGAGUAAAGUUAAUACCUUUGCUCAUUGACGUUACCCGCAGAAGAAGCACCGGCUAACUCCGUGCCAGCAGCCGCGGUAAUACGGAGGGUGCAAGCGUUAAUCGGAAUUACUGGGCGUAAAGCGCACGCAGGCGGUUUGUUAAGUCAGAUGUGAAAGCCCCGGGCUCAACCUGGGAACUGCAUCUGAUACUGGAAAGCUUGAGUCUCGGAGAGGGGGGUAGAAUUCCAGGUGUAGCGGUGAAAUGCGUAGAGAUCUGGAGGAAUACCGGUGGCGAAGGCGGCCCCCUGGACGAAGACUGACGCUCAGGUGCGAAAGCGUGGGGAGCAAACAGGAUUAGAUACCCCUGUAGUC
rnacentral:rRNA from 1 species